UUAGAGUGAUGGGUCCACUAGGCCACGUGUUGGCCGCUGGUUGACCCUGCACGAUAGUGCGUGCAGGGAUCCCACCAGGAGAGCCCGACCUAGCGCUGCCCGCGUCAUGCGUCGUGCGUCAUGGGAGCAGUUGCGGAGGGGACGGCCGGUGCGUGUGCACCCGGCUUCUGUAACCGUCUUUGGCAUGCCGCGAUGACGGGUGGGCCGGCGCUGCUCGUGGUCCCGCUCGUCGGCUGCACUAGAUGCGUGUCUCGUCGGGGUCACCACAUCGUCGUUUUCGUUCGCGUCUGGUGUUGGAGAGAGUUGUGCGGCUGACUCCUGCGUCGUGCUCUGCCUGGCCCCUGCGCCAUGCCGCGUCUCGUCUAAGGCAGCAGGAGCGUGCGGUGUGGGUGCCCCCAAACCAUAGGUCUCCUCGCUCCUCCCUUCCUCCCCCUCCCCCCGGCAGCCCGAGGAGCUCUGCCAUCGAUGAGAUCCAGCGCCUCCCAAGGUCCUUAUCCACCACAGCUCGCGAGGAAGCUGCGGUAGGAGAUCAACCGGGCAUUCGCCGGCCGGAGAAGGAGGAGAGGCGCAGAUGCCAGCCAGGAAGGUGGAUCGGUUCGCCUCCGCUGUGCCGUGAGCACCGCCGCCGCCUUUGCAUCCACCUUGCUCCGCGUAGCAGCAUGUGUGCGGAAGCAUGGACAGGUGACCACGAGUAGAUGGCGUCGGCGGCAACAGCAACACGCACGGUGUGAUGGGCGCGGCCUGCCCGCAGGCAUUCUAGGCUUGCGUGCCCGAUGGCUCGGAACGCGCGCGCCCGGCGCACAGGAGGUAUAUGCCUUGGAGCACGCCGGCGGCAACGUGCACCGCGAGGUCCCGGAGCAGCCCGGCCAGUACAGAGCCCCUCCGUAUUGGACGGACCCUGCGACUCCAUCCUCGCCUCCACUCACAGGUCUAUGCCGAUUUCCACAACAACACUGCCUUCAACUUUCUCAUUUCCCCGGCUCUGCAUACAAGGUGCAAACUAGGUAUGCCAUCUUGUUAUCGCUUGUUCAGUCGCUUUCUGGUUUAUUCCCUUUCACCUACAUAUGGUGAGGCAGUGUGUGGAAUUUAGGGGCUGGUUUGAACCAAUUACAAUGAUGUAGUGGUGCGGAUCAUUUCAGUCACCGACUUUAUAUUGUGGUCAGCUUGUUUGUCUUCUUGCUCAUGCAUUCUAAUACAUGAUGUCCUGAUGAUUUGUGAAGUUCUGUGUAUCACGUGAUCAGCUGCACAUCAGGUAGCAUGGCAGCUUGAUUGUUGCUUUUAGGAUGUACAUGUACCCAGGUGGAUCAAAUACAGAUAGCGAUCAUAUAUUUUUGUUUACUCGUGUGUUUUUCAUGUGUCUGCCAAGAAUUUCGACAAAUUGAUUAUAUCAUUCAGAUGUAUUCAGGCCAGGUUUCUAUGAUCCAAAAAAAUCAUGUGGCACUGGCUUUCUUGUUACAUACAAAACUAAAUGUGGACAAGUAUAUAUGUCAUUUUUUGGUAACUGACAAAAGUUUAUCUGGCACUGACUAUUGCGAUGCAUCUUUCUACGUGUGUGUAUUUAUUUGCAUUAUCAAUAUUUUCCUCCAAAUCAUUUGUUGGUCAUAAAUUAUUUUGCAUUAUUGAUGAUUAAUUUGCAAUUGAAAUGACAACAGGGCCGGGUUUUAUAAGUGUAAUGGGUUCAAGUGUGACCUUCCAGUCAAAAAAUGUCCUCAGCAAGAAGCUUAUGUGAAGAUCCCUUUUCUACUUUGAAUGAACUUACUGUAUAUAUCUCUUAUUUAGUUUAGUUCAUCAUUCAGAGAUGCAUGGUGGAAUAUUUUUGUCCUUCACAGGUUAAAUGAGCAUUGCGUAAAAGUCUGUCUAAGUCUCUUUCUUAUUCUUCUAUAAACUGGAAGGCAAAUAUAGAUUUCUCAUGCAUAGUUUAUCAAUCAUGAUCUCACCUCCUUUCUAUAUGCAGACAGUGUGGUACUCACUGGGGAUGCUUGCAGAUUGGUAGUGGAUGUGUGCAGUGAUGGAGGGUUAUGUCCCUAUGGGUGACAGGCAUGGUGAUGUUCACCACUGGUAUGGAGAGAAUAGGGAAAAAGAUAACUUCCCUUGAGCUAUGAAAUGUGGUAACGAAAUUACAAAUCAUUGUGGUGAUAUAACUCUUUCAUAUGACCAAAAUGAAAUCGCAUUGCACUAAUUAAAGAAUCUCCUACUAUAUUUGUUAUUUCAUUCUAUAAUUUAUGUUUAUACAAUGAAAACGAACCUGCUAAAUUCUCUAGGACAAAUGCUGGGAUGAAAUCCGCUGCAGAGCCUCAUGUGCUUCAAGUUUUCCAUAUGAAUAAGAAUUACGUACUCUUUUUCUGUGGUACGAACACAUUUCCAGACCUAUCAAGGCCAAGCUGCUAGCUAAUUUUAAUUUAUUUUUAUGCAGAUGAAUCAACAAGUGUUCUCCAAAAGGCUGAAGGUGAAUAUCAAGGCCAUCGCCCUUUGAUGAUGCACACCCAUGGUUUGUUCACCAUAAUGCAAUGAUAAGAUGUUCUCGAUGGGUAUGUAGCAGGAAUCUCUUGUAGAGUUCAAAACCAGCCUUAUUACCAAUCAUUUAUGAUGUGGUUGUUCUUGUCUUUCAGUAGAACAAAAGAAGUGGAACAAAUGGGUUUAACUUGUAUGCCUACUCCUGUUGCGAUAAGCAUUUGGUUUCCAUCUACAAGACAAGUUUCUGCUUGUGUAACGACAAUACUGUCUGGGUCGUCCAGUUUUUAGCUAUCAUCUGUUCCAGGAUCA